GAUGAACGCUGGCGGCGUGCCUAAUACAUGCAAGUCGAGCGAACGGACGAGAAGCUUGCUUCUCUGAUGUUAGCGGCGGACGGGUGAGUAACACGUGGAUAACCUACCUAUAAGACUGGGAUAACUUCGGGAAACCGGAGCUAAUACCGGAUAAUAUUUUGAACCGCAUGGUUCAAAAGUGAAAGACGGUCUUGCUGUCACUUAUAGAUGGAUCCGCGCUGCAUUAGCUAGUUGGUAAGGUAACGGCUUACCAAGGCAACGAUGCAUAGCCGACCUGAGAGGGUGAUUGGCCACACUGGAACUGAGACACGGUCCAGACUUCUACGGGAGGCAGCAGUAGGGAAUCUUCCGCAAUGGGCGAAAGCCUGACGGAGCAACGCCGCGUGAGUGAUGAAGGUCUUCGGACCGUAAAACUCUGUUAUUAGGGAAGAACAUAUGUGUAAGUAACUGUGCACAUCUUGACGGUACCUAAUCAGAAAGCCACGGCUAACUACGUG
rnacentral:rRNA from 1 species